CUCCUACGGGACGCAGCAGUGGGGAAUAUUGCACAAUGGGGGAAACCCUGAUGCAGCGACGCCGCGUGAGUGAAGAAGUAUCUCGGUACGUAAAGCUCUAUCAGCAGGGAAGAAAAUGACGGUACCUGACCAAGAAGCCCCGGCUAACUACGUGCCAGCAGCCGCGGUAAUACGUAGGGGGCAAGCGUUAUCCGGAUUUACUGGGUGGAAAGGGAGCGUAGACGGCAGCACAAGUCUGGAGUGAAAU
rnacentral:rRNA from 1 species